rnacentral:rRNA from 1 species
UACGUAGGGUGCAAGCGUUGUCCGGAAUUACUGGGCGUAAAGCGUGCGCAGGCGGCUUUGCAAGACAGAUGUGAAAUCCCCGGGCUCAACCUGGGAACUGCAUUUGUGACUGCAAGGCUAGAGUACGGUAGAGGGGGAUGGAAUUCCGCGUGUAGCAGUGAAAUGCGUAGAUAUGCGGAGGAACACCGAUGGCGAAGGCAAUCCCCUGGACCUGUACUGACGCUCAUGCACGAAAGCGUGGGGAGCAAACAGG